rnacentral:rRNA from 1 species
UACGGAGGGGACUAGCGUUGUUCGGAAUUACUGGGCGUAAAGCGCACGUAGGCGGAUUUGUAAGUCAGGGGCGAAAUCCCGGGGCUCAACCUCGGAACUGCCUUUGAUACUGCAAAUCUCGAGUCCGGAAGAGGUGAGUGGAAUUCCUAGUGUAGAGGUGAAAUUCGUAGAUAUUAGGAAGAACACCAGUGGCGAAGGCGGCUCACUGGUCCGGUACUGACGCUGAGGUGCGAAAGCGUGGGUAGCAAACAGG